AGAGCUUCAAAAUCUAUGACCUGGUAUUGUAAGAGCUCCGCCCAUAACCCCUGCUUGAAAUGUAUUAUAUCUAUUAGGAUUAUUCGAGGGUUUAGGGU